AGAAAUUUAAGUUAACAGACUAAAGGUCUUCAAAGCCCAAAGGAGAAGUUUAAACCUUCUAAUUUCUG
rnacentral:tRNA from 1 species